UACGUAGGGGGCAAGCGUUGUCCGGAUUUACUGGGCGUAAAGCGCGCGUAGGCGGGGGAGCAAGUCCGGUGUGAAAGCCCCCGGCUCAACUGGGGAGGGUCACGCGAUACUGAUCGACUCGAAGGCAGGAGAGGGUAGUGGAAUUCCCGGUGUAGUGGUGAAAUGCGUAGAUAUCGGGAGGAACACCAGUGGCGAAGGCGACUACCUGGCCUGUUCUUGACGCUGAGGCGCGAAAGCUAGGGAGCAAACGGG
rnacentral:rRNA from 1 species